GGCCUUUCUAGGAGCCAGCUUGCUUUCAUCUUACUGUUUUGAUUGUGCCUCACAAGGGACAACACUCCGAUUGUCUAGGAGGAGGAAGGUCAGGGACAGAAAAGUAAAAGCCAGGAGCAGCCUGUCCUGUCUGCCUGGGCUGCUGGGGAAUGAUUGUCAGUGAAUCGAGUUGUCUGUGGAGCCCCUGAGCAAAUUCUCCCAGUGGCAGAUCUCGCAAAAGGGGAGGAAGGCCUUCACCGCUGAACCCGAGCUUUGCCAUUUCGAAGUGCUGAGUCACCUCGUCCUCUCAGGGUCAGACACUUUCACGCAGGAAACGUCCUGCAGAGCACCGCAGCGGGAGCACCGAGCUGGUGUAUAGGUGUGAACCAAGUGCACGUCUAGUUCCCUUGGAGGCCAGAAAGAAGGCGGUGUCAGAUCCCCAGGAACCAUAGUUACAGAUGGUUGAUGUGGAAACUCAGAGAGGAUGCCACUGUUUUGAACUAUUUUGAAGGCACAGCCACCAGAGCUUUAGGUGAGUGACUCUAUGCUUAUAGGCCCAAAUGUAUCUUCACCCCCUCUCACUCCCUGCGCUGUACAGUUUCCCAUUACCCAACAUGCACUUCUGUUAGCAGCUGACUCUUUCCUAAACCUAUUCCUCCAGGGACUUACUUAGCUAGACAACCAGCUUUUCAGUUUCUUCCUUAUUUUCCUACCUAACUUUAUUAAAUUAAAUUGUUUAUUUUUUGAGACAGGGUCUCACCUUGUAGCCCUGAAUGACUUGGAAUUUGCUGUGUAGACCAGGUUGGCUUUGAACUCACAAUUCUCCAUCUGCCUCUGUUCCCAAAUGCUGGGAUUAACAGUCUAUGUCACACAUACCUAGUCUUCCUUCCUAGCUUUCUAUUUUCAGGAAAUGUCUCUUGGGACUCAGUCUAUCAAGACAGGGGUGGAAGUGGAGCUGGCCAGUGGAGUGUUGGGACAAAGCUCUGAGUGGAGCCCUCGAGUUUAAAACGGAAUCUUAGAGAGGACGUGUUUACUCCUGCAUUAUAGAGCACGGACGCUCAUGACUCAGUUUGAUUUUCAUACACCGUUCUGCUCAUCACUGCCAAGUGGAGCAAUCCAGGCCUCUCAAAAUGUGCCAUACUACCUUCCAGCUAAAAGCUUUCUGUGGGGCUGGCGAGAUGGCUCAGCGGGUAAGAGCACCCGAUUGCUCUUCCGAAGGUCCAGAGUUCAAAUCCCAG
rnacentral:lncRNA from 1 species